rnacentral:siRNA from 1 species
UCCUCAUUUAUGGACUUCUUC